rnacentral:lncRNA from 1 species
CUUUCUUCUCUGCUGCUGCUUUCUUUUGUUCCUGCUUGGCUGCUCUGUCUUUUACAAAAUUGGCUAUUUUCUUCCUUGGUCCAAGAGGUAUCCCCAUUUCCUUCAAGUCAUCAAUUGUACACAUCAGCAGAGAUUCCAUGUCAAUUCUCUCCUUUUCAAAUGUGUUUGCAUACUCUGAUAAACUCAGCAUCUCCAGAGUCUUCUGCAAAGUAGGAACGUCAUCAUCUACUUCAGGCUCACAAAGGUCAUCACCAGAAGUAGUAAUUGAGGAGCCCAAGGAACUGGUAUCUUCAGUCAUCUGUUUAUCUUGAGUAGACAUAUCCUUCUCAGUCCCAUUAACACCAGAGAAAGGUUCAGUAUUUACUGAUGAAGCCAAAUCUUUCUGGUUAGAUAAUAUGUCAAACAGAAUUAAGGAACCUAAACUGUGCCCAGCCACAGAGACUCCUCCUUUGAAGUCUGGAUUGCGACUCAUGAAAAGUGCAUACAAACGGUUCAUCUCCA